UACGUAGGGUGCGAGCGUUGUCCGGAAUUACUGGGCGUAAAGCGUGCGCAGGCGGCUUUGCAAGACAGAGGUGAAAUCCCCGGGCUCAACCUGGGAACUGCCUUUGUGACUGCAAGGCUAGAGUACGGCAGAGGGGGAUGGAAUUCCGCGUGUAGCAGUGAAAUGCGUAGAUAUGCGGAGGAACACCGAUGGCGAAGGCAAUCCCCUGGGCCUGUACUGACGCUCAUGCACGAAAGCGUGGGGAGCAAACAGGAUUA
rnacentral:rRNA from 1 species